rnacentral:lncRNA from 1 species
GUUCUAGGACUUACUUCCUGUUAAGAUGCUUCUGAUACUUGUUGUUUAGUUCAGAGUUUGACUUUCUUGAACUUGUUUCUUCUUCAGAGCUUCUGAUCAUUUGAUAAUAUACUUCUGAUCUGGUACUCUAUCUGAUGAUGUCAUCAGAGUCCUGCACACUUAGAAACUUUUCGUUAGGGUGCCAUUUUUGGUUUCAUCCUUUGUUAUCAUCAAAAUCAAGGAAUCUGUUGUAUCACAAUUUUUGUUCUUACAAUCUCCCCCUUUUUGAUGAUGACAAAACAACUUUAAUUAGCAGAUGAAACAUGAAUAAAAAUAGAUCAGAUAGACAGAAGCUCCCCCUGAGAUAGUACUAGGGAGUUCAGAGGUUCUGAAGUUCUUACCAGAGUUUCUUAAGUAAAGAGGUUUCUGAGAUUUUCUGCAAUUUCUUAAGUCCAAGUUAGAUAAUUUUGUUUAUAUAAAAAAAAUGUUGCAGAAUGCUUGAUGGUUUUAGACAAUAUUUUCAUCAGAGCUAAUAAUUACUUUCUCCCCCUUUUUGUCAGAAUCAAAAAGACAUAGUAAAAAAAAGUAAAGAGAAAAAAAAAAAGAUAAAGAGAAAAACUUAAAAUUCAUAGAUAGAAGCACAAAGGCAACAAACAAAACAUCAGGUUCAAAAGAACAAGAAAAACAUCAGAGUCAAAAGAAGACAGAAGCAAAAACAAUAGGCAAGCAAAAUAAAUCCUAAGUGCCUAAGGGUUCGGAGGCGGAGGCAUUCUCUGAAGCAGCAUAGCAAGC